CCAGACUCCUACGGGAGGCAGCAGUGAGGAAUAUUGGUCAAUGGGCGCGAGCCUGAACCAGCCAAGUCGCGUGAGGGAAGACGGUCCUAUGGAUUGUAAACCUCUUUUGUCGGGGAGCAAAAGACGCCACGCGUGGCGUUCCGAGAGUACCCGAAGAAAAAGCAUCGGCUAACUCCGUGCCAGCAGCCGCGGUAAUACGUAGGUGGCAAGCGUUGUUCGGAAUAACUGGGCGUAAAGGAUGCGUAGGCGGUUAAACAAGUUAUAUGUUAAAUAUAUAGGCUUAACCUGUAGAAAGCAUAUAAAACUGUUUAACUAGAGUGCAGGAGAGGUAAGUGGAAUUCCUAGUGUAGCGGUGAAAUGCGUAGAGAUUAGGAAGAACACCAGUGGCGAAGGCGACUUACUGGACUGUAACUGACGCUGAGGCAUGAGAGCAUGGGGAGCAAACAGGAUUAGAUACCCGUGUACU
rnacentral:rRNA from 1 species